AGAUUCCUGAAGGAAAUGGUUCUGGAGUAGUUUGGGAUAAGGAUGGCCACAUUGUGACAAAUUAUCACAUAAUUGGCAAUGCCCUUUCAAGAAAUCCAAAUGCUGGUGAGAUUGUUGCUCGAGUUAAUAUUCUAGCAACAGAAGGGUUA